rnacentral:lncRNA from 1 species
CCCCUGGUGGUCCGACCUGUAAACACACAAGUUCCCUGACUGAGCGUUUCCCAGUGUGAUUUUCCCCGACUCCUGGAAACAAUGAGAGAGAAAUACUUUGGGAGCUUCGAAGGUAUAAAUAACGCAGCCUUGAUGCCUCUGAGCCUUCUGGAAUUGGUCUGCCCCAUGUGGAUCAAUGGCUGUCUGUUUUCUACUCCAGCCUCUCUGCUUGGAAUCCUAUGUCUUCACCCCACAGCUUCUCAGACCCUGUCCUUCCUCCCUGGCAGCCAACAGCAAGAGGCUUCGAGAAUGUGA